rnacentral:rRNA from 1 species
GAUGAAUGCUGGCGGCGUGCCUAACACAUGCAAGUCGAGCGGCAGCGCGAGUAGUUUACUACUUGGCGGCGAGCGGCGGACGGCUGAGUAACGCGUGGGAACAUGCCCCAAAGUGAGGAAUAACUGCCCGAAAGGGUAGCUAAUGCCGCAUAUGGUCUUCGGAUUAAAGGAUUUAUCCGCUUUGGGAGUGGCCUGCGCACGAUUAGAUAGUUGGUGAGGUAAUGGCUCACCAAGUCGACGAUCGUUAGCUGGUCUGAGAGGAUGAUCAGCCAGACUGGAACUGAGACACGGUCCAGACUCCUACGGGAGGCAGCAGUGAGGAAUCUUCCACAAUGGGCGAAAGCCUGAUGGAGCAACGCCGCGUGAAGGAUGAAGGCCCUCGGGUCGUAAACUUCUUUUAUAAGUGAAGAAUAUGACGGUAACUUAUGAAUAAGCACCGGCUAACUACGUGCCAGCAGCCGCCGUAA